CAGGAUGAACGCUGGCGGCGUGCUUAACACAUGCAAGUCGAACGGAGUUUAGAUGAAACCUAGUGAUUCUAAACUUAGUGGCGGACGGGUGAGUAACGCGUGGGUAACCUGCCCUAUACAGGGGGAUAACAGUUGGAAACGACUGCUAACACCGCAUAACAUCGCGAGAGCGCAUGAUCUUGCGAUCAAAUAUUUAUAGGUAUAGGAUGGGCCCGCGUCUGAUUAGCUGGUUGGUGAGGUAACGGCCCACCAAGGCGACGAUCAGUAGCCGUACUGAGAGGUAGAACGGCCACAUUGGGACUGAGACACGGCCCAAACUCCUACGGGAGGCAGCAGUGGGGAAUAUUGGUCAAUGGGGGAAACCCUGAACCAGCCGACGCCGCGUGAGUGAAGAAGUAUUUCGGUAUGUAAAGCUCUAUCAGCAGGGACGAUGAUGACGGUACCUGACUAAGAAGCCCCGGCUAACUACGUGCCAGCCGCAGC
rnacentral:rRNA from 1 species